rnacentral:sRNA from 10 species
GGCUGGUCUUGAGCUCCUGGGCUCAAGUGAUCCUUCCGCCCUGGCCCCCCACUGCUAAAUUUGACUGGCUUAAA